CAUUUUGAAUACCCUGGCUUGUCUACUUUUGAAAAUUGUACGCCAUGAUGGGGUUCAUUUUCAUUCCUAGGCUAUAGUAUGGUCUCAACUGCAACAUAGGCCCAGUAAACCAGUCUUGCAAACUGAAAUGGGCAAGUCCUAUACUGACCCUGUAACUUUCCAAAAUACCAUAAAAUCUGUACAUGAGGGGGGUACAGUUUUACUCGAGAGACGUAGCUGAAUACAAAUACAAGUGUUUAAAAACAGUAAAAUG